rnacentral:rRNA from 1 species
CAGCCGCCACGGUAAUACGAAGGGGGCUAGCGUUGUUCGGAAUUACUGGGCGUAAAGGGCGCGUAGGCGGCCAUUCAAGUUAGAUGUGAAAGCCCUGGGCUCAACCUAGGAAUUGCAUUUGAUACUGUUUGGCUUGAGUUCGGGAGAGGUGAGUGGAAUUCCUAGUGUAGAGGUGAAAUUCGUAGAUAUUGGAAGGAACACCUGUGGCGAAAGCGGCUCACUGGACCAUUUCUGACGCUGAUGCACGAAAGCUAGGGGAGCAAACAGGAUUAGAUACCCGUGUAGUCCCUGUCUCUUAUAC